UACGGAGGGGGCUAGCGUUGUUCGGAAUUACUGGGCGUAAAGCGCACGUAGGCGGAUUGGAAAGUCAGAGGUGAAAUCCCAGGGCUCAACCUUGGAACUGCCUUUGAAACUCCCAGUCUUGAGUUCGAGAGAGGUGAGUGGAAUUCCGAGUGUAGAGGUGAAAUUCGUAGAUAUUAGGAAGAACACCAGUGGCGAAGGCGGCUCACUGGUCCGGAACUGACGCUGAGGUGCGAAAGCGUGGGGAGCAACAGG
rnacentral:rRNA from 1 species